UACGGGGGAUGCAAGCGUUAUCCGGAAUUAUUGGGCGUAAAGCGUCCGCAGGUGGCUAAUCAAGUCUGUUGUCAAAGCGCGGAGCUUAACUCCGUACAGGCGAUGGAAACUGGUUGGCUAGAGUUAGGUAGGGGUAAGAGGAAUUCCCAGUGUAGCGGUGAAAUGCGUAGAUAUUGGGAAGAACACCGGCGGCGAAAGCGUCUUACUGGGCCUAAACUGACACUGAGGGACGAAAGCUAGGGGAGCGAAAGGG
rnacentral:rRNA from 1 species